GUGGCGAACGGGUGAGUAACACGUGAGCAAUCUGCCCUUGACUCUGGGAUAACUGCGGGAAACUGUAGCUAAUACCGGAUACUUUCCUCGCUGGGCAUCCAGCGGGGAAGAAAGAAUUUCGGUCAAGGAUGAGCUCGCGGCCUAUCAGCUAGUUGGUGAGGUAAAGGCUCACCAAGGCGACGACGGGUAGCCGGCCUGAGAGGGUGACCGGCCACACUGGAACUGAGACACGGUCCAGACUCCUACGGGAGGCAGCAGUGGGGAAUAUUGCACAAUGGGCGAAAGCCUGAUGCAGCAACGCCGCGUGAGGGAUGAAGGCCUUCGGGUUGUAAACCUCUUUUAGCAGGGAAGAAGCGAAAGUGACGGUACCUGCAGAAAAAGCACCGGCUAACUACGUGCCAGCAGCCGCGGUAAUACGUAGGGUGCAAGCGUUGUCCGGAAUUAUUGGGCGUAAAGAGCUCGUAGGCGGUUUGUCACGUCUGCUGUGAAAAUCCGAGGCUCAACCUCGGACUUGCAGUGGGUACGGGCAGGCUAGAGUGCGGUAGGGGGGAAGGGAAUUCCUGGUGUAGCGGUGGAAUGCGCAGAUAUCAGGAGGAACACCAAUGGCGAAGGCACUUCUCUGGGCCGUAACUGACGCUGAGGAGCGAAAGCGUGGGGAGCGAACAGGAUUAGAUACCCUGGUAGUCCAC
rnacentral:rRNA from 1 species